GACGAACGCUGGCGGCGUGCUUAACACAUGCAAGUCGAACGCUGAACCCGCUUCGGUGGGGGAUGAGUGGCGAACGGGUGAGUAACACGUGGGCAACCUGCCCCCGGCUCUGGGAUAACUCCAAGAAAUUGGGGCUAAUACCGGAUGUGACCGCUGGCCGCAUGGUCUGGUGGUGGAAAGGGUUUCCGGCUGGGGAUGGGCCCGCGGCCUAUCAGCUUGUUGGUGGGGUAGUGGCCUACCAAGGCGACGACGGGUAGCCGGCCUGAGAGGGUGACCGGCCACACUGGGGCUGAGACACGGCCCAGACUCCUACGGGAGGCAGCAGUGGGGAAUAUUGCGCAAUGGGCGGAAGCCUGACGCAGCGACGCCGCGUGGGGGAUGACGGCCUUCGGGUUGUAAACCUCUUUCAGCAGGGACGAAGCGCAAGUGACGGUACCUGCAGAAGAAGCACCGGCCAACUACGUG
rnacentral:rRNA from 1 species